ACUUUUAUAAUUACAUCCGGGCAUUUCUAAGAUGGAUGCGCCCUAGUGUAACAUAAAUAACAAAAUAAAUCGUUGUCUAUACCAAUGGCGCUUGUAAUUGCAUUCUGAAAUUGUUCGUAUGAUGACUAAAUACGUUGUAGUCGGUGGUGGGAUAGCAGGAGUAACUUGUGCCGAAACUCUGUCAUCCUUGUGCCCAGAAGAUGAAAUUCUUCUCAUCACUGCUUCACCUUUGAUAAAAGCCAUCACAAAUUAUAAAAAGAUCACUAAAACAUUGGAGGAAUUUGAUGUGGAAGAGAGGCCAAAUAUUUCAUUACAGUCCAAAUGUGAGAAUGUUAAAGUGGUCCAAAAGAGUGUAGGAUCCCUCGACGCCAAGUCACAUGUUCUGAGGCUAGAUGACGGACAGGAAGUGGUCUAUCAGAAGAUUUGUCUCUGCACCGGCGGCAAACCCAAGCUUAUUGCAGAACAAAACCCAUAUGUAAUCGGAAUCCGUGAUACUGAAAGUGUGCAGGAGUUUCAGAAGCGGCUCUCAACAGCCAGAAGGGUGAUGGUGGUAGGCAAUGGUGGAAUUGCGACGGAACUUGUGUAUGAAAUAGAAGGGUGUGAAGUGGUCUGGGCCAUUAAGGACAAGUCUAUCAGCAGUACCUUUGUGGACCCUGGGGCUGGGCAAUUCUUUAUAGCCGAGCUCAACAAAAAGAAAAAGACACAAGAAGGAAAACCCUCCAAACGGCUCAAAUAUACACUAAAAGAUAUAAAAAUAUCUGAAUCAAACAACACGCCAAUCGGAGGAGCUCUAGGUCCUGAUUGGUCAGCUGAUUUAUCCAUGACAGGCACGCAAGAGAUCUCUCACUGUGUGACUGUAGAGAAAUGUGUGGAGGUUCAGGCCAUACACACCAAGCAGGAGUUUGAGAAGUCAGGCAAACGUUGCUGUGUCUUGUCAGGCAAUCCAGAUCAAGGUUCCUGGCCUAUUUACGUAGAGCUGACCAACGACAAGGUGUAUGGCUGUGAUUUUUUGGUCAGUGCAACAGGGGUGGUCCCAAAUACAGCACCAUUUCUACCUGGUAAUCAGAACAGUUUUUGAUAGCUGAUGAUUUUGGGAUACGAGUAGAUGAUAUGAUGAGAACCUCAGAAAAAGAUGUGUAUGCAGCUGGCGAUGUUUGUACUGCAGGCUGGGAACCAGCCAAACACUGGUUGCAGAUGCGUUUGUGGUCCCAAGCAAGACAGAUGGGAGCUUACUCGGCACAGUGUAUGGUGGCUGACAUGCAGGGCCAGCGCAUUUCUCUGGAUUUCUGUUUUGAAGUUUUUGCCCAUGUCACAAAAUUCUUCAAUUAUAAAGUCAUUCUUCUAGGAAAGUUCAAUGCUCAAGGUCUUCGCCGCGACUAUGAAAUUUUACUGAGGGUAACGAAAGGGUUAGAGUACGUUAAGGUUGUGCUACGAGACGGUCGGAUGGAAGGUGCAAUUCUAAUAGGAGAGACCAAUUUAGAAGAAACCUUUGAGAACCUGAUUCUAAACCAGACAGAUCUAACGCCUUUCAAAGAUCAUCUUUUAGAUCCAGAUAUUGAUAUAGAAGAUUUCUUUGAUUAAUAAAUGUGUAUUUAUAUGUGUAAAUUUUUGUAAAUAAUAAAUUAAAUCGUAAGAAAAUAU
rnacentral:misc_RNA from 1 species